AUUGAACGCUGGCGGCAUGCCUUACACAUGCAAGUCGAACGGCAGCACGGGUGCUUGCACCUGGUGACGAGUGGCGAACGGGUGAGUAAUACAUCGGAACGUACCUUAUCGUGGGGGAUAACGCAGCGAAAGUUGCGCUAAUACCGCAUACGCCCUGAGGGGGAAAGCGGGGGACCGUAAGGCCUCGCGCGAUUAGAGCGGCCGAUGUCUGAUUAGCUUGUUGGUGAGGUAAAAGCUCACCAAGGCGAUGAUCAGUAGCUGGUCUGAGAGGACGAUCAGCCACACUGGGACUGAGACACGGCCCAGACUCCUACGGGAGGCAGCAGUGGGGAAUUUUGGACAAUGGGGGCAACCCUGAUCCAGCAAUGCCGCGUGAGUGAAGAAGGCCUUCGGGUUGUAAAGCUCUUUUGUCAGGGAAGAAACAGCAGCUCUAACACAGUCUGCGAAUGACGGUACCUGAAGAAUAAGCACCGGCUAACUACGUG
rnacentral:rRNA from 1 species